rnacentral:rRNA from 1 species
CGACGCUGGCGGCAUGCUUACACAUGCAAGUCGCACGGACCCUUCGGGGUGAGUGGCGGACGGGUGAGUAUCGCGUAGGGAUCUAUCCAUGGGUGGGGGAUAACAUCGGGAAACUGGUGCUAAUACCGCAUGAUACCUGAGGGUCAAAGGCGCAAGUCGCCUGUGGAGGAGCCUGCGUUCGAUUAGCUUGUUGGUGGGGUAAAGGCCUACCAAGGCGAUGAUCGAUAGCUGGUCUGAGAGGAUGAUCAGCCACACUGGGACUGAGACACGGCCCAGACUCCUACGGGAGGCAGCAGUGGGGAAUAUUGGACAAUGGGCGAAAGCCUGAUCCAGCAAUGCCGCGUGUGUGAAGAAGGUCUUCGGAUUGUAAAGCACUUUCGACGGGGACGAUGAUGACGGUACCCGUAGAAGAAGCCCCGGCUAACUUCGUGCCAGCAGCCGCGGUAAUACGAAGGGGGCUAGCGUUGCUCGGAAUGACUGGGCGUAAAGGGCGCGUAGGCGGUUUACACAGUCAGAUGUGAAAUUCCAGGGCUUAACCUUGGGGCUGCAUUUGAUACGUGUAGACUAGAGUGUGAGAGAG